rnacentral:misc_RNA from 1 species
AAAGCCACCUUCACCCAAUAGAUUCUUAGAACUGAAACCAUCCGUGGCCUUCUCAAGCUCACUUCGGGAAAAUGCCUUGACUGAUGGCGGGCAAGUAAUCAUGGCUGAAACCAAGGAUACUGAUGUUGAGCUUGCCAGACUACUUGAUGCUACUGGUCUCAUACCAGGUCUAUUUGUAAUUGAGGGGAUAGUUACUGGUGCAAGGGCUGUCAGUGUCCUUAUGAGAUGUUGGCGUUUCAAGAUGAUAAAAAUUACUCCAGCGAAUAUGAAGAUA